CACUUGUUCCCAGUAUACUGUGAAACUCAAGACAAGGUUAACUAUAUCUGUCCUCCCUUUUCUAUCUCAUUGCACCCCAAGGUGCCAGGCCCAGCUGGGACUGCACAUUUUCCUGCAACCACCUCUAACUUUGACCAUCACUUCUCAAAGUGCCAGCUCACCAAAAGCAGGUCUGGGCUUUCGGGAGGUUUCCAAAGCCCCUUCCUUCACCUCAUCUCCACCUCAUUCCAGUUUCAGGCAACGCUGACCACACCAACUGGCAAUGCAAGAGAAGGCUCCCAGCUACAGAUUGUCUUCACUCAGACCACAGCCACUAAUUUGGAGGAAGAUUUUGCCUACAACUUUAUCUUCCCCGUAUCCCUCGUGAGUUCGUACUCCUUCCUCCUUGUGCUUCGCUCCCUGCUCACCGCAUCCCCCUCUUGUCAUAUUCUUCACUGGCGGAGUAACAACCUGUCACAUCCAUAACCUCUUUGCACCAAAAAUGUUCUUUGAUCUGUGUAAACUACAUUUGAUGCUGAAAUCCUUGAUAUUAAUAUCUUUUGUUUGUGUGUCAAUGUUCUCUAGAAUCUAAUUAAGCAAUGUUUUGAGAGCAUUAUAUAUGUUUGAACAAUUUGGCAGAGCAGACAAUAUGAGCUAUUGACCUGCAAGGAUAAACUGUGCUUGCAGAUUCUAGGAAUUCACACGUGCCUGCUGCUUUAUGCUAUUUCUUCUGAAAUAUGUGCAUUCAGAAGGAGGCCUUGUUUUGCAAUAAUCUCUGCUGAGGCUUAAUCAAGUAACUUCUCACACUCCUCACUGUAAUUGCAGCGGCAGUUAGAGCAGGGCAGAACAGAAGCAGCUUUCAGCUGGCCGAGGAAAACAAUAAUAAAAUAAAACAAAGAGUGAGUUCCACCCCGACACUAAUAAC